AUUGAACGCUGGCGGCAGGCCUAACACAUGCAAGUCGAGCGGAUGACGGGAGCUUGCUCCUUGAUUCAGCGGCGGACGGGUGAGUAAUGCCUAGGAAUCUGCCUGGUAGUGGGGGACCACGUUUCGAAAGGAACGCUAAUACCGCAUACGUCCUACGGGAGAAAGCAGGGGACCUUCGGGCCUCGCGCUAUCAGAUGAGCCUAGGUCGGAUUAGCUAGUUGGUGGGGUAAUGGCUCACCAAGGUGACGAUCCGUAACUGGUCUGAGAGGAUGAUCAGUCACACUGGAACUGAGACACGGUCCAGACUCCUACGGGAGGCAGCAGUGGGGAAUAUUGGACAAUGGGCGAAAGCCUGAUCCAGCCAUGCCGCGUGUGUGAAGAAGGUCUUCGGAUUGUAAAGCACUUUAAGUUGGGAGGAAGGGCAGUAAGUUAAUACCUUGCUGUUUUGACGUUACCGACAGAAUAAGCACCGGCUAACUCUGUGCCAGCAGCCGCAGUAA
rnacentral:rRNA from 1 species